rnacentral:rRNA from 1 species
UGAGGAAUAUUGGGCAAUGCCCGCAAGGGUGACCCAGCAACGCCGCGUGGAGGAUGAAUGUCGUAAGAUUGUAAACUCCUGUUAGAGGGGAAGAAUAGUACCGGUUGGACCGGUAUAUGACUGUACCCUCAGAGAAAGCCCCGGCUAACUACGUGCCAGCAGCCGCGGUAAUACGUAGGGGGCAAGCGUUGUCCGGAUUUACUGGGUGUAAAGGGCGCGCAGGCGGGAUAAAAAGUCAGUGGUGAAAUCCUACAGCUUAACUGUAGAACUGCCUUUGAUACUUUUAUUCUUGAGUUCGGGAGAGAGAGACGGAAUUCCAGGUGUAGUGGUGAAAUACGUAGAUAUCUGGAAGAACACCAGUUGCGAAGGCGGUCUCUUGGUCCGACACUGACGCUGAGGCGCAAAAGCGUGGGGAGCAAACA